UACGUAGGGACCGAGCGUUGUCCGGAAUCAUUGGGCGUAAAGAGCGUGUAGGCGGCCUUUUAAGUCCUGCGUGAAAUCCUGCGGCUCAACCGCAGACGGUCGUGGGAAACUGGAAGGCUAGAGUGCGGGAGAGGAGAGUGGAAUUCCCGGUGUAGCGGUGAAAUGCGUAGAUAUCUGGAGGAACACCGGUGGCGAAGGCGGCAUCCUGGACCGGCAUUGACGCUGAACAGCGAAAGCCAGGGGAGCAAACGGG
rnacentral:rRNA from 1 species